rnacentral:rRNA from 1 species
CCUACGGGAGGCAGCAGUGGGGAAUAUUGGACAAUGGGCGAAAGCCUGAUCCAGCCAUGCCGCGUGUGUGAAGAAGGCCUUCGGGUUGUAAAGCACUUUCAGUGGGGAAGAAAGCCUUGGGGCUAAUACCCUCGAGGAAGGACAUCACCCACAGAAGAAGCACCGGCUAACUCCGUGCCAGCAGCCGCGGUAAUACGGAGGGUGCGAGCGUUAAUCGGAAUUACUGGGCGUAAAGCGCGCGUAGGCGGUCUGAUAAGCCGGUUGUGAAAGCCCCGGGCUCAACCUGGGAACGGCAUCCGGAACUGUCAGGCUAGAGUGCGGGAGAGGAAGGUAGAAUUCCCGGUGUAGCGGUGAAAUGCGUAGAGAUCGGGAGGAAUACCAGUGGCGAAGGCGGCCUUCUGGACUGACACUGACGCUGAGGUGCGAAAGCGUGGGUAGCAAACAGGAUUAGAUACCCCGGUAGUC